GACGAACGCUGGCGGCGUGCCUAAUACAUGCAAGUCGAACGCAGUGGGUACGGGUGAGUAACACGUGGGUAACCUCCCAUCAGAGGGGAUAACACUUGGAAACAGGUGCUAAACCGAUACUGAUGGAUGGACCCGCGGUGCAUUAGCUAGUUGGUGAGGUAACGGCUCACAAAGGCCACGAUGCAUAACCGGUCUGAGAGGGUGAUCGGCCACACUGGAACUGAGACACGGCCCAGACUCCUACGGGAGGCAGCAGUGGGGAAUCUUCGGCAAUGGGCGAAAUUAUGACCGAGCAACGCCGCGUGAGUGAAGAAGGUUUUCGGAUCGUAAAGCUCUGUUGUUAGAGAAGCGGUAUCUAACCAGAAAGCCCCGGCUAACUACGUGCCAGCAGCCGCGGUAAUUC
rnacentral:rRNA from 1 species